CGCGAGUCCUAUGUCUUGCAGGCAACAGGAAGUGAACUGAGACACUGGGCAGAAUCUUGAGCAUGCAUGAGGCCCCCAAAGCCCGCCCCCACAGUGACGCACUUCCUCCAACAAGACGACACCUGCUCCAGCAAGGCCACCUCUCCUGAAACUACCACUCUUUCUGGGGGCCGUUUUCUUCCAGACCACCACCAUGGGAGAGGUUCCCACGGUGCCCUCUUGUUUGAGACUACCCUUUGUCUUCAGAAUAUGUCCAUCGUAGCUUUUACCAGGAACAGAAAAGGGCACCAUCCCAGAAGAGCCAGCAGAGGGCACCAGACACCAACUGUAUGAUGGUAUGAGUCGUGCUUGGAGGGCCAGGGUCAGUUCCUCCAAAUCAGAGGGAAGUAAAACGAACCCACAGGCCUUCCUCUUUGAGUGUAAUCAUAGACAUAACAUAAAUGUUCCUAUUUGCCUCUUUUUUUGGAUCUUAUGUUUUUUAAAAUGCAACAAUGCAAACUGUUCUGAAGAGACAAAUUUGAAGUUCAAGAUCCGAAACUACACUUGGAAUUUGACAAUUACAUUGUUAACAAAAUACUUGAAAGCCUAAAACAUAGACUAAGACAUGGGAAAUGGUCGCUCUUGCACUGACUUCCAUAUGCGUGUACACCCUUACCGUACAUUCUCUAAGACAGAAUAGACAUGUAUUUGACAGAAGACGCAAUGCUUACUUAUAGCUGUAUUUAGAAAAAGUUUUAUUCAAUCCAAUACUCUGAUUCUGAGAAUAUAACGGAAGGGGUCUCUUGGCUAUUUAAAUCUGCUCUGCUGACUCCAGGUGCUACUCCGGAUCCCUCCAGGGCAUUUUCAGAAGUGUCCAUACUCACUGGUUCCCCAAGGAUUCUGACUUGAUGAUAAACCUAAAACUGUCACCAGUAUUUAGUUGUUUGCAAGGCAGUCGACAGAAAUGCUGUCCUGUGAUUCGGUAACUUGUAAUUGAGAAAACCUUACAGAGACUGAUAAGCACGCAAGACCAAACCCAGUGGGUUAGUGUUGGGAAACUCUUGAGAUGCCUGGGAGCCAAGGCUGGCACGGACAUGUGUGCCUCUAACAGCUCUGAACACUGGCUCCAUCCUUCAGCUGCCCCUAAGCCCUUGGGAGGCAAUUAGUAAUGACAGUAAAUAGCUUUUAUACUUGGAAAACAUUGUGUAAAUGCUAAGCCCAGGAAACACACAAAGGACUUGCGUUUCCUGAGAAUAUUUCUCAACCAAGGACAACCUUAUGCAUCCUUUAACCAGUGUCUCUUCUGCAACGGGAACCUCUCUAACCUCUAAUCUGAGAAAGACAAAAGGAGUUACCUUUAAUGACUCUCCUACAAAUCAAAGUCCUAAGAAGAUUACCUCUUUUGUGAUUUCAGAAGUGGAGAUCCUGCUUCGACAAAAUACCAGUUUUAAUGUGGGCUGUCUGGAUGCAGUCUGAGCGGUUCACAUGUAGGCAGAACACUGUAUAUGUAAUAAAUAAAUAAAUCUUUAAAAAAAAAAAAAGAAAGAAAGAAAGGUGAGCAAGAAAGCAGACACAAGCCAGCAGUCAGUGUUGCUCCGUGACCUCUGCUCCAGUUCCUGCCCUGACUUCCUGACCUGACUUCCCUCAGUGAUGACUGUGACCUGGGCGUUGUAAGCUGAAAUAAACCCUGUCCUUCCCAUGUUA